rnacentral:tRNA from 1 species
GGUUUCAUGGUGUAGCGGUUAUCACGUCUGCUUUAUACCCAAAAGGCUCUGAGUUCGAUCCUCAGUGAAACCA